UACGGGGGGGGCAAGCGUUGUUCGGAAUUACUGGGCGUAAAGGGCUCGUAGGCGGCCAACUAAGUCAGACGUGAAAUCCCUCGGCUUAACCGGGGAACUGCGUCUGAUACUGGAUGGCUAGAGGUUGGGAGAGGGAUGCGGAAUUCCAGGUGUAGCGGUGAAAUGCGUAGAUAUCUGGAGGAACACCGGUGGCGAAGGCGGCAUCCUGGACCAACACUGACGCUGAGUGAGCGAAAGCCAGGGGAGCAAACGGG
rnacentral:rRNA from 1 species